UACGUAGGGGGCAAGCGUUGUCCGGAAUCAUUGGGCGUAAAGCGCGUGUAGGCGGUUCGGUAAGUCGGCUGUGAAAGUCCAGGGCUCAACCCUGGGAUGCCGGUCGAUACUGCCGGACUAGAGUUCGGAAGAGGCGAGUGGAAUUCCCGGUGUAGCGGCGAAAUGCGCAGAUAUCGGGAGGAACACCAAUGGCGAAGGCAGCUCGCUGGGACGUUACUGACACUGAGGGACGAAAGCUAGGGGAGCGAAUGGG
rnacentral:rRNA from 1 species